UACGGAGGGUGCGAGCGUUGUCCGGAAUCAUUGGGCGUAAAGGGCGCGUAGGUGGCGGGACAAGCGUGCGGUGAAAGCUCGGGGCUCAACCCCGGCGGUCCGGCGUGAACUGUUUUGCUUGAGCACUGUAGAGGCAGGCGGAAUUCCGGGUGUAGCGGUGGAAUGCGUAGAGAUCCGGAAGAACACCGGUGGCGAAGGCGGCCUGCUGGGCAGUAGCUGACACUGAGGCGCGACAGCGUGGGGAGCAAACAGG
rnacentral:rRNA from 1 species